rnacentral:misc_RNA from 1 species
UCCGGUUUGUCACCGGCAGUCUCCCUAGAGUUCCCACCAUCACGUGCUGGCAACUAGGGACAAGGGUUGCGCUCGUUACGGGACUUAACCCAACAUCUCACGACACGAGCUGACGACAGCCAUGCAGCACCUGUCACUCAGUUCCCGAAGGCACCAAUCCAUCUCUGGAAAGUUCUGAGGAUGUCAAGGCCAGGUAAGGUGGGGAUGACGUGAGAGAGUACGUCC